CUCUUUUGUCCCUUCUUUUUCUCUCUCUUCUCUUCUCUCUCUUCGCUUUCUUUGUCUUUCUCUCUCCCUUUCAUAAACAGCGGAACCCCAUUGCUGUUUGUGUUUCACUUUUUUUCAUUCUCUUUUUUUAUUGUGGCCUCACUUGAUAACGAUCUCUCUCCACUAUCCUCCUUGUGGUCCCUCACGACUACAACCUUCCCCUCUUUUCAUUGUGGUCCGAGACCACUAUUUCCCCCUUUUUUUUUUUUUUAUCUCCCGCAUGCGCACUUCCUCCCUGUGCACCCUAAGGUUCACCUCCUCUUUUCUGAGGAUCCCUUAUUCAUCUAUCUCCUCUUCACUCCUUCACAGCACCCUUUCUUUGGUGCACGCUCUUGAUGACUUCCUCUCUUUCAUGUCCUGUGGUCCCGCGAGACCACCUUUGCCCAACAUCUUACCAAUCGCACUCUCGUGUACUCAUUUACGUAUUACCCUCUCGUGUACCCAUCUUACCUACAGCUGUCUCGUCAAUCCAUCUUACUUAUCGCCGUGUGCACCCAUCUUACCUAUCGCCGUGCACGCAUCCAUCUUCCCCAACGCGGCGCGAUAUAUCUUUCCCCAACGCCCCGCGCAUCCUAUCUUCCCCAAUGCUAUGUGCGACUGACCUCUUUCCAUCACCGUGUGCGACUGGAGUCUAUCGCCAUGCGUGACAAGCAACCCAUUGCCACGUGCGACAACUCCGUCUCGUGCACCCAGCUCCGUGCGUCGCCACUGCCCCUUCCCUGCCUGAGACCAACUCUGCUGAACCCGGCAGCCCCGGCAGCCAUCUCUCUGCUACACCACCUCUGUCACUACUUUCUCUCUCUAACUCCCUGUCUUUAACCACGACCCACCACUAGCACUUUUCCCAUCUUCACCUUUCCCUGCUCUAUCACCUACAGCCAGACUUCACUGUUCUUCUUCUCCUUUCUUACUCUGCUGCAACCCAUCGCAACCCCAUCUCUCUUCGCUACUCUCACAAAGAGUUCCCCUGCCCAUCUCUCCUUCACUUCCAUCCAUCCUUUCCUCAUCACCAACCGCAGCUCCAUCUUUCUCCAAUUACUCUUGCAGCCUCACCUCUCACAAAAGCAAACCAUACUGCUCCCUCACUGUCUCCUUUCUCUGCUACUCAGUAACCAACCCAUUAUUCCGCCUCUCUAAUCACCAUCCGCCAACCCUCUCUCAGGUGUUCUCUCCUUGCGACCUUCUCCUCUGCUCAAAUCGCCACCAUCUCUCCGCUCCCAACCAGCUGCCACCAUCUCUCAUCAGGUAGCCACGCUUCCUUCCGCCUACUUUCCGCAACCUCAUGCAGCCAUGAUUAUCACCUUGCUACCCUGUCUCCGCCCCUCACAGCCUCUCACGAGUGGUCUCAGCCACCUCCAUCUAGGAUAGCAUGCCCGCUAUCCUCUCGCGCCUUCUACUCUCCUCUCUCUAAAAAACUCACAAGCUGCACUUCAUGAUUUUCUCUCUCUAAAAACACCCAAAGGAAAUGCCCCACCCCAUUUCUUCUUUUCGCCUGGUUUCGUUUUGUUUCUUUGCUUUUCUUUUCAUCUUGUUUCGUUCAACCGUCUUUACCCAAGGAAGCUCCUCGUGUCCUUCGUACUCCUUACAUCUAAAUAACCCAACAAAAAGCACUGCACCCUCUCUCUCAUCUAAAUAACUAAAAAAAGCCAAUACUCUUCCCUCUCAUUCAAAGAACCCUAAAAAAUCCUUCACUCUCCUUUAAUCAAUUUAUUUCUUUAAGUGGUUUAAAAAUCGUCGAGUCGGCAUGGAAUCGACCAAUUUGAAUUGGGAAUCAGUCAUCCCGUGUCGAUUCUUUUGUAAAACAACCGGGAAUCGCGCGAUUCUAAAGAAGAACCAGUGAUUCUGUAGAGUGAAUCGCUGGAUGACGGCCAUGACUCGCCUGGUUGACGUCAUGAGUCACAAGAGGCAAACACGUGCUCCAUCACAAACCCACACUGCUACAUGGGUUUCGCGUGCGACUAGCUUUAGUAGCAGAAGACUAUUUAUCCUUAUCAAAUUUGUUUUGUGGGUUCGAUGUGGGACAAUUGCGCCAAGAAAAGGACAAACAGGUCAAGGGAGGCGAUUCCAAACCGGCCAUAGGCUAGGAGGCUUUCCAACAUGAUCUAAGAUGACGCCCACGCGAGCCAGCCGGAGUGUGUCACGGACUCACAUGAAGUAAGUCCCACAUCACGACCCUUAUUCCUUUCUUAUCGUUGGUACUCUUUUCCGUGUCUUCUUUAUAUGGUUCCCGAAAGAGCGAUCUCAUGUUUCGGGUCCAUCUCGAACCCAGAACCAAUCCUUCAAGUCAACCCGACUUGGAGGAUGAGAUCGAGGCACCUAACCACUCAUCACCUCUCAUUCUCUAUGCAAAAAAUCUAUCUCUAAACUCUCUAGGGUGGAAUGCCACCCUCUGAGAAAAUUCUCACUCACUCUCUCUCUCAUCCAAGAUCUCAUCUCUCUAAAGAGAGAUAGGGGGCACACCCCCAUAAGAGACUAUAGAGGUGGGCACAUCCAACUCAUAAAAUUGCCUAGACAUUGAGGCAUUCGCUCAAUCAAAUUGUUCUUGUUCUCAUAUUUUAGUGAAUGAAAUUAGCCAGGACUAUCACAUAUUUAGAAGAUCCGAGAUUUACUAUUGAUCUCGUGUGUUAUUGGAGGAGGAGUCUUGGUGUAGGGUGUACUAAAUCCGAUUGAGGUAAACUUCUGGUGUCUUGUUUUAUCGUUUACAGUAUUUUAUUUGUUAUGCUUUAUUACUCCCAUAAGCAUUAUGUUGGUUUUAUUCAUUGAACAAAAAAAGUUGUAAUUAGUGGCAGCAAGUGAGAACCACUUUUGAUUAUUUAUUUGUAUAUUUUGAGUUGAGUUUAUUGUAAUUAUACCAUUGUAAGUGUUCUAGUCGGUGUGAAAAAGAAAAAUGAAAAACAAUAUACACCAUGUUAGAUCACCUUAACCUACUUUUAUUGGUAUUAGAGCUAGAUCUAUUUGAUGUCAUAUCUUUUUUUUUCACUAUUUUUUGUUGAGUUGAAUGUUAGAGAUUUGAAGUAAAAUGGCUUUGUGGUCGUAUGGGAAACCUCCAAAAAGAUUAUUGGCAUAAUUCAUGCACCAAAAAGGUACUAUGCAGAAUAAGGUAUUAUGUGUUGUUUUGGACAACUAAUAUGAACAAGAUAAUGAGGUAUUUCUCUAAUGCAUACUUCAAUAAUUUAUUUAUUUACAGUAGGAUCUUCUUGCAAAAUUUCAGUGGGAGAUAACAGGGGAAUUGAGAGUUAUGGACUUAUCUUUCAUGGGUGUCAGUUCUGACUUCUGCAAAAUCUAGGAAUUGUAUAUUGAGUUUCAUGAAUUUUUCCACUUAGUAAGUAAUUUUAUUUUAGGGUAAUAUUCGGCGAUAGCUCAUCAAAUUGAGUCUACUUUCAAAAUAAUUUCGUGGAGAAACUUCUUACAAUUUGAAAAAUAUGGUCAUUUUUAUUUAAGGGUACACAAGUGCUAUUUUUUGCAAUGAAGAUUUUUUUUUAGUGACAUGAAUGUCAUGAUUUUAUUUUUAUUCUUAAAAGAAUAUUUUGAGGCCCAUACUAAGUUUUUAAGAUGCUUUUCGAGCCUAGUUUCUAAAAGAAAUUAUUUAAGAGAUAAAUAUCCUUGCGAAAUAAGGAAAAUUUUUUUUAUUGGAAAGAGCUUAUCCUGAAAUUCUGCAGUUUGGUGUGUUUCAUUGAGAUGUGAACAUCUAUAUUUUCAAGCCUACCUAACAAAGUGAUAUGAGGCAUGUAGAAAGAUAUUUUUUAACUUUUUGUGUCUACUUUGAAACAAAAGAACUUUGAAAGGGAAACUCCAUAUUGAUAGAGAAGAAAGGCAAUUGUACUAGAUAGUGUUCAUCUUGGAAUUCUGCAGUAUGAUAUAUACUGUGACGUGAUUGUCACUUAUUUUAUUUUUAUGAAGAAAAAAUAUUAAUUUAUUAUUCACACAACUAGAUUAAGGUUUGUUCUUGAGUCUAGUUUUCAACAAAAAAGGUUUGAGGUAGAGAUCCUUUGUGAAUUGAGAUAAACAAUUAUUUUAUUGAGAGGUGCACAACCUAAUUUUCUAUUGUAAAAAUAAUAUUGUGACGUAAAUGUUACUAAAUCGUGGACUUACUAAAUGGUGUGAUUUCGGGAUGGCACUGAGUAAUAUUUUGUAUAUUUGUGUCUAUUUCAAUAUUAAAAAAUUUUUAGAGAUAAACUUUUUGUGAUUUGAGAGAUAUCAUAUUUUUAUUAUUGGAUGCUUAUCUUCCAUUCUGCAGUAAAUUAAAAGAUGUGGAAUCUUAAGGCACAUCUUUGCACUCCUCAUAAUGUAAGCCUUUUAGUACUCAUUCUAAUAUUUUAUAUUGUACCAUAAGUAUGGUUUAUAACAUUAAGACUUCAAAGAGGGGUAUUACAAAUUUGGUGAGAUAUGACACUUUAUGUGAAUAGUGCUAAAUCAUGGAAUGUAGAAAGGAAUAAACACAAUAUCUAUGAAAACAUCUUAGUUUCUAUUUGCAAUGAAGCGAUGUGUAGAGUACCUUUGAGGCAGCAUAUAAACUCUACGAUCAGUUGGACUAUCAAGAUUGUGAUUUUUUGUGGGAUGACAUGAAGAAGAGUAUUUCUUCAAGGCAUAUGUAAGGGAGAAUCCAAAGGUCGACGAGGUGGACGAUUCAUUGACUUGUAAAAGAUGAUGACCAAGUGAUUAUUCAUCAGUUGUGUGCUCUUCUAAGAUCACAAAAGUUCGUCAACAAGCAAAAGCAAUAAUGACAAAUGCCCAGAUUGAUAGCAGUGAAUCGAGGACAGGUGACCCAGGGACCGCGAGUAGAAGUUGAAGUUGUGUUGCUUACAGAAGUUUGAUUUCAAUUGUAUGUUUUUGAUGGCUGUUAGCCACAGACUCUGUUUAAAAUUUGAAGUUCUGUAAUGAUCAGAGCCUUCGAAGCCCGCGAACGUUUUUAAUUCUUUGGGAAAAGUUUAUAUACAGUGUAUUUCAGUUAAGGAUCUGACUGUCCAGCUUUUAGUGAA